CCGGUGAAAGUUAUGGAAACUAUGUCCUCCAGUUUGCAGAUGACUUUUCAUACACAGAUCCUGUUGAUGGAAGUGUUGCAUCCAAGCAAGGUGUUCGGUUUGU